rnacentral:tRNA from 1 species
UGAGUAACAAUAUAAAACUGCAGAUUUUGAGGGGCAGAAGUUAUCUGCAUAGGUUU